rnacentral:rRNA from 1 species
AGCGUACACGGUGGAUGCCCUGGCAGUCAGAGGCGAUGAAGGACGUGCUAAUCUGCGAUAAGCGCCGGUAAGGUGAUAUGAACCGUUAUAACCGGCGAUUUCCGAAUGGGGAAACCCAGUGUGAUUCGUCACACUAUCAUUAACUGAAUCCAUAGGUUAAUGAGGCGAACCGGGGGAACUGAAACAUCUAAGUACCCCGAGGAAAAGAAAUCAACCGAGAUUCCCCCAGUAGCGGCGAGCGAACGGGGAGGAGCCCAGAGCCUGAAUCAGCAUGUGUGUUAGUGGAAGCGUCUGGAAAGGCGCGCGAUACAGGGUGACAGCCCCGUACACAAAAGCGCAUGUGCUGUGAGCUCGAUGAGUAGGGCGGGACACGUGGUAUCCUGUCUGAAUAUGGGGGGACCAUCCUCCAAGGCUAAAUACUCCUGACUGACCGAUAGUGAACCAGUACCGUGAGGGAAAGGCGAAAAGAACCCCGGCGAGGGGAGUGAAAAAGAACCUGAAACCGUGUACGUACAAGCAGUGGGAGCACAGGUUUACCUGUGUGACUGCGUACCUUUUGUAUAAUGGGUCAGCGACUUAUAUUCUGUAGCAAGGUUAACCGUAUAGGGGAGCCGUAGGGAAACCGAGUCUUAACCGGGCGUUAAGUUGCAGGGUAUAGACCCGAAACCCGGUGAUCUAGCCAUGGGCAGGUUGAAGGUUGGGUAACACUAACUGGAGGACCGAACCGACUAAUGUUGAAAAAUUAGCGGAUGACCUGUGGCUGGGGGUGAAAGGCCAAUCAAACCGGGAGAUAGCUGGUUCUCCCCGAAAGCUAUUUAGGUAGCGCCUCGUGAAUUCAUCUCCGGGGGUAGAGCACUGUUUCGGCUAGGGGGCCAUCCCGGCUUACCAACCCGAUGCAAACUGCGAAUACCGGAGAAUGUUAUCACGGGAGACACACGGCGGGUGCUAACGUCCGUCGUGAAGAGGGAAACAACCCAGACCGCCAGCUAAGGUCCCAAAGUCAUGGUUAAGUGGGAAACGAUGUGGGAAGGCCCAGACAGCCAGGAUGUUGGCUUAGAAGCAGCCAUCAUUUAAAGAAAGCGUAAUAGCUCACUGGUCGAGUCGGCCUGCGCGGAAGAUGUAACGGGGCUAAACCAUGCACCGAAGCUGCGGCAGCGACGCUGAUGCGUUGUUGGGUAGGGGAGCGUUCUGUAAGCCUGUGAAGGUGUGUCGUGAGGCAUGCUGGAGGUAUCAGAAGUGCGAAUGCUGACAUAAGUAACGAUAAAGCGGGUGAAAAGCCCGCUCGCCGGAAGACCAAGGGUUCCUGUCCAACGUUAAUCGGGGCAGGGUGAGUCGACCCCUAAGGCGAGGCCGAAAGGCGUAGUCGAUGGGAAACGGGUUAAUAUUCCCGUACUUGGUGUUACUGCGAAGGGGGGACGGAGAAGGCUAUGUUGGCCGGGCGACGGUUGUCCCGGUUUAAGCGUGUAGGUGUGUGUUCCAGGUAAAUCCGGUUCACUUUAACACUGAGGCGUGACGACGAGGCACUACGGUGCUGAAGCAACAAAUGCCCUGCUUCCAGGAAAAGCCUCUAAGCAUCAGGUAACACGAAAUCGUACCCCAAACCGACACAGGUGGUCAGGUAGAGAAUACCAAGGCGCUUGAGAGAACUCGGGUGAAGGAACUAGGCAAAAUGGUGCCGUAACUUCGGGAGAAGGCACGCUGACACGUAGGUGAAGUGAUUUACUCAUGGAGCUGAAGUCAGUCGAAGAUACCAGCUGGCUGCAACUGUUUAUUAAAAACACAGCACUGUGCAAACACGAAAGUGGACGUAUACGGUGUGACGCCUGCCCGGUGCCGGAAGGUUAAUUGAUGGGGUCAGCGCAAGCGAAGCUCCUGAUCGAAGCCCCGGUAAACGGCGGCCGUAACUAUAACGGUCCUAAGGUAGCGAAAUUCCUUGUCGGGUAAGUUCCGACCUGCACGAAUGGCGUAAUGAUGGCCAGGCUGUCUCCACCCGAGACUCAGUGAAAUUGAACUCGCUGUGAAGAUGCAGUGUACCCGCGGCAAGACGGAAAGACCCCGUGAACCUUUACUAUAGCUUGACACUGAACAUUGAGCCUUGAUGUGUAGGAUAGGUGGGAGGCUUUGAAGUGUGGACGCCAGUCUGCAUGGAGCCGACCUUGAAAUACCACCCUUUAAUGUUUGAUGUUCUAACGUGGACCCGUAAUCCGGGUUGCGGACAGUGUCUGGUGGGUAGUUUGACUGGGGCGGUCUCCUCCUAAAGAGUAACGGAGGAGCACGAAGGUUGGCUAAUCCUGGUCGGACAUCAGGAGGUUAGUGCAAUGGCAUAAGCCAGCUUGACUGCGAGCGUGACGGCGCGAGCAGGUGCGAAAGCAGGUCAUAGUGAUCCGGUGGUUCUGAAUGGAAGGGCCAUCGCUCAACGGAUAAAAGGUACUCCGGGGAUAACAGGCUGAUACCGCCCAAGAGUUCAUAUCGACGGCGGUGUUUGGCACCUCGAUGUCGGCUCAUCACAUCCUGGGGCUGAAGUAGGUCCCAAGGGUAUGGCUGUUCGCCAUUUAAAGUGGUACGCGAGCUGGGUUUAGAACGUCGUGAGACAGUUCGGUCCCUAUCUGCCGUGGGCGCUGGAGAACUGAGGGGGGCUGCUCCUAGUACGAGAGGACCGGAGUGGACGCAUCACUGGUGUUCGGGUUGUCAUGCCAAUGGCACUGCCCGGUAGCUAAAUGCGGAAGAGAUAAGUGCUGAAAGCAUCUAAGCACGAAACUUGCCCCGAGAUGAGUUCU